rnacentral:rRNA from 1 species
GAUGAACGCUAGCGGCAGGCUUAACACAUGCAAGUCGAGGGCAGCAUGAAGGUUAGCAAUAACCUUUGAUGGCGACCGGCGCAAGGGUGCGUAACGCGUGAGCAACUUGCCCGUUUCUGGGGAAUAACCGGUGGAAACGCCGACUAAUACCCCAUAGCAUCAGAAUGAGGCAUCUCAAUCUGAUUAAGAAAUUCGGAAACGGAUAGGCUCGCGUGACAUUAGCUAGAUGGCGGGGUAACGGCCCACCAUGGCUACGAUGUCUAGGGGUUCUGAGAGGAAGGUCCCCCACACUGGAACUGAGAUACGGUCCAGACUCCUACGGGAGGCAGCAGUGGGGAAUAUUGGGCAAUGGGCGCAAGCCUGACCCAGCGACGCCGCGUGAGUGAAGAAGGUCUUCGGAUUGUAAACUUCUUUUAUGAGGGACGAUAGUGACGGUACCUCAUGAAUAAGCCACGGCUAACUACGUG